rnacentral:rRNA from 1 species
GAUGAACGCUGGCGGCGUGCCUAAUACAUGCAAGUCGAGCGAACGGACGAGAAGCUUGCUUCUCUGAUGUUAGCGGCGGACGGGUGAGUAACACGUGGAUAACCUACCUAUAAGACUGGGAUAACUUCGGGAAACCGGAGCUAAUACCGGAUAAUAUUUUGAACCGCAUGGUUCAAAAGUGAAAGACGGUCUUGCUGUCACUUAUAGAUGGAUCCGCGCUGCAUUAGCUAGUUGGUGAGGUAACGGCUUACCAAGGCAACGAUGCAUAGCCGACCUGAGAGGGUGAUCGGCCACACUGGAACUGAGACACGGUCCAGACUCCUACGGGAGGCAGCAGUAGGGAAUCUUCCGCAAUGGGCGAAAGCCUGACGGAGCAACGCCGCGUGAGUGAUGAAGGUCUUCGGAUCGUAAAACUCUGUUAUUAGGGAAGAACAUAUGUGUAAGUAACUGUGCACAUCUUGACGGUACCUAAUCAGAAAGCCACGGCUAACUACGUGCCAGCAGCCGCGGUAAUACGUAGGUGGCAAGCGUUAUCCGGAAUUAUUGGGCGUAAAGCGCGCGUAGGCGGUUUUUUAAGUCUGAUGUGAAAGCCCACGGCUCAACCGUGGAGGGUCAUUGGAAACUGGAAAACUUGAGUGCAGAAGAGGAAAGUGGAAUUCCAUGUGUAGCGGUGAAAUGCGCAGAGAUAUGGAGGAACACCAGUGGCGAAGGCGACUUUCUGGUCUGUAACUGACGCUGAUGUGCGAAAGCGUGGGGAUCAAACAGGAUUAGAUACCCUGGUAGUCCACGCCGUAAACGAUGAGUGCUAAGUGUUAGGGGGUUUCCGCCCCUUAGUGCUGCAGCUAACGCAUUAAGCACUCCGCCUGGGGAGUACGACCGCAAGGUUGAAACUCAAAGGAAUUGACGGGGACCCGCACAAGCGGUGGAGCAUGUGGUUUAAUUCGAAGCAACGCGAAGAACCUUACCAAAUCUUGACAUCCUUUGACAACUCUAGAGAUAGAGCUUUCCCCUUCGGGGGACAAAGUGACAGGUGGUGCAUGGUUGUCGUCAGCUCGUGUCGUGAGAUGUUGGGUUAAGUCCCGCAACGAGCGCAACCCUUAAGCUUAGUUGCCAUCAUUAAGUUGGGCACUCUAAGUUGACUGCCGGUGACAAACCGGAGGAAGGUGAGGAUGACGUCAAAUCAUCAUGCCCCUUAUGAUUUGGGCUACACACGUGCUACAAUGGACAAUACAAAGGGCAGCGAAACCGCGAGGUCAAGCAAAUCCCAUAAAGUUGUUCUCAGUUCGGAUUGUAGUCUGCAACUCGACUACAUGAAGCUGGAAUCGCUAGUAAUCGUAGAUCAGCAUGCUACGGUGAAUACGUUCCCGGGUCU